UACGUAGGGUGCGAGCGUUAAUCGGAAUUACUGGGCGUAAAGCGUGCGCAGGCGGUUCGUUAAGUCCGAUGUGAAAGCCCCGAGCUUAACUUGGGAAUGGCAUUGGAAACUGGCGGGCUGGAGUGUGGCAGAGGGGGGUGGAAUUCCACGUGUAGCAGUGAAAUGCGUAGAGAUGUGGAGGAUCACCGAUGGCGAAGGCAGCCCCCUGGGCCAACACUGACGCUCAGGCACGAAAGCGUGGGGAGCAAACAGG
rnacentral:rRNA from 1 species